GUGAUGAUAUUAUUUGGUUUAACGUUUGGCAACUUCACCGGAGACCAGCUCGUCCCCGCCGUCCUCUAGCAGAGACCAAGAUGCAGGAAGAAACCCGAUGACUCUCCACCAUCCACGAGGUGAACCCACGGCAGAGCUUCUCUUCCUCUGAAGCGGAGACGGAGAAGACAGAGGAGGAGGAUGACGGCGGUGAAGAUAUAGAAGCGACGGUGGUUUGUUCGUGCGACAUUCACCACCACCACCAAGUUAAAUCUCCUGGUACACUUCAAUUAAGCCACUGGGAGAGAGUUUUGGUGACGAUUAAGGAGGCGGAGGAAAAGACUAUGGGAGGUAUCUUACUUCCAUCCACGGCUCAAGGAGGUGAAGUCGUUGCUGUGGGUGAAAGAAGAACUAUUGGGAAGAACAAAAUCGUGAAGGUGGAUGCAUCAACAAUAGCUAUAAGUUGCUGGAGAGGGAAGAAUAGUUUCGGUAUAAUGGUCACUUCUGCUGAUUGCCAGGAGCUGCUGGAGAGACUUGCGGAGAGAACACCAAAAACCGAAGGUGGCUCUGUUAAUGGAAGCAAUGGCCGGGUGGUCUUGAAGCUAUGGAGACUGUGCGGUCUAAGGUUCAUGGAAGAUGUGCUUCUUGGUAAAAGAAGUGACCAUACGGUCAGAACAGUAGUUGUAGUCUUGUUGAUGACCCAUCCCUAUAAUGAUGUAAUCUAACAAUACUAAAAACACAAUAUUCUCAACAAAGAGGGAUGCCACGUCCUCAAAAAAAAAUCAGCCAAUGAGUAAGUUUGUUUUCACCACGUCACCAUUG